GCCAGUGAUGCUAUGCCCAACAUCUUGAGGCGCAGAUGGCUCCAGGAUCCUGUUUACAGGAUGAACCUACCUGAAGUCCCUGUAUCCACAUGACAUCCAUGCGCAAGUCUGAGGU
rfam:Triticum aestivum genome assembly, contig: Triticum_aestivum_CS42_TGACv1_scaffold_321903_4BL